rnacentral:lncRNA from 1 species
UAUACAGUGUGUACUACUAAAAUUUAUACACUAUGUACUACUAUACUUUUUACACUGUGUACUACUAAACUUUAUACACUUAUAUUAGUUCUAACAGAUCAACCUUAAUUUAUCGCACUGUUCAAGUUUAAUAUCAGACACAAUCAGACUUGAACCUUACUGUAAACGAUUGAUAAUAAACUAAGAAAGCGGGAAAAUCAAAAUUUUAGAUCUUUCAAACGACUGUUAUCUUUAUAUUUAGGAGAAAAGGCCUACAGCCAAUCAAUUAAAAAAAACAUGUCAAAACGACGACUACAAUAAGGGUAGAAUAGACCCAAUAAUUCAUUUUCGUAAAAAUACCAAUUUUAAAAAAUGAGAAUCACGUGAACUUAGUUUUGAAUGAUAAUUGCAACAAUGACAGUACUCCCCGCAUAUUAUUAGCAUGCUGGUGACAAUAGAAAAGUAUACAAUUAUUAUGUUUAAAUCAAUACAUCUAUGAAUUGCGUGUAGUAUAGUGAGGGGGUGGUAUGAGCAGGGGAUAUUUGUAAGGUAAAGCACAGUGUGGAAGGAGCAGGGUAAUAAACCUCAAACUAAUGCCUUGAUACAUUAAUCAGAACCUAACACUAACUUGACUAAAAUUAUAAAUAUUUCAGAAUGCACAAACUAAAAGAAAUCAAGGUUCAUCAGACUGAAAUUAGAAAUCAGAAAUACCAGAACAAUUUCUUUAUUUUGUUUUAAACAUAUGGUUUUCAAGGCACUAACAAUCAAAGUUUCACAAACCCCCCGGGCACAACCUUUUCAUCAAAGUUCCAAAAACCACUCUUGAAUGACCAGAAACCCGGGCACAAUCAAUCAAUCAAUCAAUCAAUCAGUUUCAAAAACCCCUCUUUAAUGACCAUAAACCCGGGCACAAUCAAUCUAUCAAAGUUUCAAAAACCCCUCUUGAAAGACCAGAAACCCGGGCACAAUCAAUCAAUCAAAGUUUCAAAAACCCCUCUUGAAUGAACAGAAACCCGGACACAAUUAAUCAAUCAAAGUUUCAAAAACCCCUCUUUAAUGACCAGAAACCCGGGCACAAUCUAUCAAUCAAAGUUUCAAAACCCCCUCUUGAAUGACCAGAAACCCGGACACAAUCAAUCAAUCAAAGUUCCACUAACCCCUCUUGAAUGACCAGAAAAGUAAAGAAUGAAUGAACUCAGACGAAACGUGAAAAAGAACUAAAUGUCUAGAACUGGUCCUACGUCGGAUCAUGAAUCAACAACCUGCCGAUCUCGAUUAAGAUGGCAAAUUAGAACAGAUAUUCAACAUCCGGGAAAGGAGUCAGAUGAUCGACGCUGAGGUAGAUUGAUCUGGAAUAGGUGGAAAAAGUAAACUAACUAAACAUGUGAUGUUUGAUACAGAAGUCUUCAUGGAUUAAGAUGAUGACUUCAGUAUUAUGGUUGACACUGAUGAUUCUUCAGAUGAAAAGAAAAAAGAAGCAGAAGAUAAAACUGAAUCUGGUAAAGCUAGAUAUAGAUGGAACCUAGUUUAUCUAGUUAAACAAUCAGAUACCAAGGCAGAUCAAACUGCUAAAAAAGAAAAACUCAAGGAAAGAGUAGAUGAAUGGAUGAAUUAUAUUGAUUAGGCAAGAGUAGGUGAUUGGAUGAAUUAUAUUGUUUAGGAAAGAGUAGAUGAAUGGAUGAAUUAUAUUGUUUAGGAAAGAGUAGA